GAUGAACGCUGGCGGCGUGCUUAACACAUGCAAGUCGAACGGAAAGGCCCAAGCUUGCUUGGGUACUCGAGUGGCGAACGGGUGAGUAACACGUGGGUGAUCUGCCCUGCACUUCGGGAUAAGCCUGGGAAACUGGGUCUAAUACCGGAUAGGACCACUUCUUGGAUGUUGUGGUGGAAAGUUUUUUCGGUGUGGGAUGAGCUCGCGGCCUAUCAGCUUGUUGGUGGGGUAAUGGCCUACCAAGGCGUCGACGGGUAGCCGGCCUGAGAGGGUGUACGGCCAACAUUGGACUGAGAAACGGCCCCGACCCCCACCGGAGGGAGCCGGGGGGAAUAUUGCAAAAUUGGCCCAAGCCUGAUGCCGCGACGCCGGGUGGGGGAUGACGGCCUUCGGGUUGUAAACUCCUUUCGCUAGGGACGAAGCGUUUUGUGACGGUACCUGGAGAAGAAGCACCGGCUAACUACGUG
rnacentral:rRNA from 1 species